GUGCCAGCCGCCGCGGUAAAACGUAGGAGGCGAGCGUUAUCCGGAUUUACUGGGUGUAAAGCGCGUGCAGGCGGUUGGCUAAGUUGGGUGUGAAAGCUCCUGGCUCAACUAGGAGAGGUCGCUCAAGACUGGCCGACUGGAGAGCAGUAGGGGAAGGUGGAAUUCCAGGUGUAGUGGUGAAAUGCGUAGAUAUCUGGAGGAACACCAGUGGCGAAAGCGGCCUUCUGGACUGCAUCUGACGCUCAGACGCGAAAGCUAGGGGAGCAAACGGGAUUAGAAACCCUGGUAGUCC
rnacentral:rRNA from 1 species